GUUUUACGUCUAUCAUUCUACUGUGUUUUGAGUUCUUCUGGUACUGCGUUUGCAUGGGAUCUUCGCUGGCAACAGCAGGCUAUAAUGCUUUCUGGUGUUGGAACCAGUGAUUUGUCUGCUCUUUCACCAUCAGAAAGUGAUGUUUGGGAGGUCCAGUAUGACAACUAUACUGCUUCAUCCAAUUACUGAAACAUCUUAGAAUCACGUGUUUUUCCUGCCAUGAUUUGAUCAGAGGAUGGCAUUCUUGCCGUAAUUGAACAAGGUGAAGAACCCAUCGAGCUUCUUGCUGAACCUUAUGCCAUCAACAGCUUUGACAUCAAUCGACAAAACCCAUCAGACAUUGUUUGUAGUUUGGAGUGGGAAUCCAUAACCAUCUUAGAGUGUUUCUUAUGAAGCUGAGAACUUUGGGUAUACAACAGAUUUUGUUGAACUUUUUGAGUUUGCUACAUGGCUGUGAAUUCUUCUUUUAAUUAUGGAGUAAUUGUUUUGUAAGGGAAAAAUAUUUGACACUGUUUUUUGAAGAAUUUUGUAGCAUAUGAAUUGAUAAUAUUGACUAAUUUUAGUACAUAUAAA